rnacentral:lncRNA from 1 species
UACGCUUUCCGUUCCAGAGAAAAAGUCGCUAACACUAAAUGGGACAAAAAGCUCGAGAUCUCUGCGUGAAUCCAGUCUGAGAGGUGGAACGCAGAUUUCGCGAUGAAAAUUUCGCGGAAAUGCAAACGCGUUGGUUACGGCAGUCCGGCGACAACUUCGGGCACUCGAUCGCCCCCGUGGUCUCGGCCGCGCGACCGUCGAACGACGGGGAGGACCCGACCGGCGCCACCGCGACCUCAUCAGGUGCGAGGGAGUAGCACCGAACGGACCGAGACCUCGGCGCGAUGGGCGGCAACAAGGGCAAGGGAGGCGGGGGAAGGGGCGGAAGGGGCG